UGCAGUCGAGCGCGCCCUUCGGGGUGAGCGGCGGACGGGUUAGUAACGCGUGGGAAUAUACCCUUUUCUGCGGAAUAGCCUCUGGAAACGGAGAGUAAUACCGCAUACGCCCUUCGGGGGAAAGAUUUAUCGGGGAAGGAUUAGCCCGCGUUAGAUUAGGUAGUUGGUGGGGUAAUGGCCUACCAAGCCUACGAUCUAUAGCUGGUUUUAGAGGAUGAUCAGCAACACUGGGACUGAGACACGGCCCAGACUCCUACGGGAGGCAGCAGUGGGGAAUCUUGGACAAUGGGCGCAAGCCUGAUCCAGCCAUGCCGCGUGAGUGAUGAAGGCCUUAGGGUCGUAAAGCUCUUUCGCCUGUGAAGAUAAUGACGGUAGCAGGUAAAGAAACCCCGGCUAACUCCGUGCCAGCAGCCGCGGUAAUACGGAGGGGGUUAGCGUUGUUCGGAAUUACUGGGCGUAAAGCGCACGUAGGCGGACUGGAAAGUUGGGGGUGAAAUCCCAGGGCUCAACCCUGGAACUGCCUCCGAAACUAUCAGUCUAGAGAUCGAGAGAGGUGAGUGGAAUUCCGAGUGUAGAGGUGAAAUUCGUAGAUAUUCGGAGGAACACCAGUGGCGAAGGCGGCUCACUGGCUCGAUACUGACGCUGAGGUGCGAAAGUGUGGGGAGCAAACAGGAUUAGAUACCCUGGUAGUCCACACCGUAAACGAUGAAUGCUAGUCGUCGGGUAGCAUGCUAUUCGGUGACACACCUAACGGAUUAAGCAUUCCGCCUGGGGAGUACGG
rnacentral:rRNA from 1 species